rnacentral:rRNA from 1 species
AGGGAAUUUUCGGCAAUGGGGGAAACCCUGACCGAGCAACGCCGCGUGAAGGAAGAAGUAAUUCGUUAUGUAAACUUCUGUCAUAGAGGAAGAACGGUGGAUAUAGGGAAUGAUAUCCAAGUGACGGUACUCUAUAAGAAAGCCACGGCUAACUACGUGCCAGCAGCCGCGGUAAUACGUAGGUGGCGAGCGUUAUCCGGAAUUAUUGGGCGUAAAGAGGGAGCAGGCGGCACUAAGGGUCUGUGGUGAAAGAUCGAAGCUUAACUUCGGUAAGCCAUGGAAACCGUAGAGCUAGAGUGUGUGAGAGGAUCGUGGAAUUCCAUGUGUAGCGGUGAAAUGCGUAGAUAUAUGGAGGAACACCAGUGGCGAAGGCGACGAUCUGGCGCAUAACUGACGUUCAGUCCCGAAAGCGUGGGGAGCAAAUAGGAUUAGAUACCCUAGUAGUCCACGCCGUAAACGAUGAGUACUAAGUGUUGGGUGUCAAAGCUCAGUGCUGCAGUUAACGCAAUAAGUACUCCGCCUGAGUAGUACGUUCGCAAGAAUGAAACUCAAAGGAAUUGACGGGGGCCCGCACAAGCGGUGGAGCAUGUGGUUUAAUUCGAAGCAACGCGAAGAACCUUACCAGGUCUUGACAUCGAUCUAAAGGCUCCAGAGAUGGAGAGAUAGCUAUAGAGAAGACAGGUGGUGCAUGGUUGUCGUCAGCUCGUGUCGUGAGAUGUUGGGUUAAGUCCCGCAACGAGCGCAACCCCUGUUGCCAGUUGCCAGCAUUAAGUUGGGGACUCUGGCGAGACUGCCGGUGACAAGCCGGAGGAAGGCGGGGAUGACGUCAAAUCAUCAUGCCCCUUAUGACCUGGGCUACACACGUGCUACAAUGGACAGAGCAGAGGGAAGCGAAGCCGCGAGGUGGAGCGAAACCCAUAAAACUGUUCUCAGUUCGGACUGCAGUCUGCAACUCGACUGCACGAAGAUGGAAUCGCUAGUAAUCGCGAAUCAGCAUGUCGCGGUGAAUACGUUCUCG